CAAACAGGAAACCAGAUAAACGGAAUCUGGACUUCAAUACCUUUUAGGCAUGAAAGUUUACUGAACUUCAGGAUCCAGCAAGAGUGAAGUUUCAACGUCUGUAGUAACACAUCUCAGGGCGGUGCUUAGAACCAAUAAAAUAUCAAGGGACUUCAAGA